UGCUGAGACUUGAACUCAGGAUCUCGUGCAUGGUAGACAAGUGUCCUGUGGCUGAGCUACAUCCCCAGCCAUUCCUGAUUUAUCCAUGGCCUGCAUCCUUCACCUCAUCUCUACCCGAGGGUCUGAUGGAGCUGAGACCAGUCACAUUUAAAUUCAAAGCUGUUAGCAUAUAAAAGAAGAUUAAUGUCUUAUCUAUCUUGGGUUCUCUGGCCCCUUGUCAGUUAGAGUAAACAAAAGCUGGGAGAGCAGGAGAAAACAGGGCAGAUUUGUAACGUACGUGUGUGUGUGUGUGUGUGUGUGUGUGUGUGUGUGUGUGUGUGUGUGUGUGAGAGAGAGAGAGAGAGAGAGAGAGAGAGAGAGAGAGAGAAUGUGAGAGAGUGUGUGAGUGUGUGAAUGUGUGUGACAGGAAGAGAAGUUCAAGGGCAUUUGCAAUAACAAAAUAAGGUGUGAGGCUAGCCUGGGUUACAUGAGACCAGUCAGAAAACCAGCCAGCCAGCUGGGUGACACUGGUGCACUCCUUUACUCCCAGGACGUGGGAGGGAGGCAGAGGCAGUUAGAGGGCAGCCUGGUUUACUGAGACAGUUCCAGGACAGUCAGGGCUAAAGAGAAAGCCUGUCUUAAAAAAACAAAAUAAAACAAACAACAGCAAAAUAAGCAAUCUAUGCUCUUUAAGGGCUGCUGUUUUAACCCUUGUCUUCUUCUGUGCCCACUUUGAGCCAUCAGGGUGUCCUAGAAGUGCACCGUGCCCCCUCAGGUUCACUGUGCUGCCCUUUGAAGGUCUCCAGUGUCAAGCCUCUCACUUUGGAGGGGGCCACAGCCGGUGUGGAAGGAGACAGAAGGCAGGACAGAACAGGGCCUCACCUGAGUGUCUGCACUUUGAAUCCAGAACAGGCCACUGUGUGGCCUUCAUCAAGUGCUGUUAUGAGCCUGUUCUAUAAAACAGGAUGCCCCUCCCCAAGAUGUCUUUUAUUUAAAAAAAAAAAAAAUCCCUCUUAAAAAAAAGUUGCACAUAUCAUAGAAUUCACUCAAAUUAUACAAUUCAACUUAGAGUAUUUAGAUGUUAUCCUUUUUACUUAAAAUCUUGCCAUGACCAGCCCUGGUCUAGAAAGCACCCUGUUGUUCAGGCUGGCCUUGAACUUGGGGUGAGCCCCCUGAUUUAGCCUACUGAGUGUUGGGGUUAUAGGCGUGUACAGCCACACCACUCACAAUCCUCACUAUGUGCGUGUGUGCUCACCCAUGCUUGCCAGCAGCAUGUGUUGAAGUCCAAGGACGAGUCAGGUUUGUCCUCUCCUCUCCACCAUGUGGUGGAGGUCUAACUCAGGUUGUCAGGCUAGGGGCAAGGAAGGGCCUUUGCUCCAUGAGCCAUCUUGCUGGCCCAGCAUCUGCACUGUGGCCAGUACUGGUCAAUGAGGCUCUUCCCAUAGACAGAGUCUCUUCUCCCUAUUCAGGAGUCCAGGGCCUCAGGGUCGACUGUGACAUCACUAGCCCCUCUGAAAUGCUCUUUAAUGUCCAGGAGGCAUUUUCAACCUCAUGCUGUUUUCUGUGUUGAAGAAACGCUCCGAGCCUUCCGCUUUGGGGAUAUUGGUAGGAACUCAUGUCAGAUACCCCUUUUAUUAAAAUCCUUAAAGUAAAUGCCACUGGCAAAAUGUCUGUUUAACAUAGACGGAGCCUGAAGAGCCAGGCAGCUUCAACAGUUGCUCUGGAGACACUGGGCUCCUGAAAGUCGUCUCUGACCUCACAGAUACCCUGUGCCAUGUGUGCCAAUAAAGAAACAAAGGCACUUCUGGCUGUUUGUUUACUUUUUCAAGACAGGGUUUCUCUGUGUAGUCCUAGGGCUGGCCUGGAACUCAGAGGCAUGCCUGCCUCUGUCUCCCUGUCUCUCCAGUGCUGGGAUUGAAGGCAUGUGCCACCACCACCUCCUGGCUUUUUUUUUUUUAAAGAGUAGUGAGCGAAUGAGAUACUAAAUAGCAGCUGUUAGUGAGGCAGUUGUCAGAAUGUGUCUGAAAACUUAAAGUAGGGCUUUUGUUAUUUUUAUUUGAAACUGGGUCUUACUCUGCAGCCAGGGCCAGCCUCGAGCGUGAAUGUACAAACCUGUUCCUUUAGAGGAAUGUCCCACCUUUGCUGGCCUUAAAUUCACAGAGAUUGCUUGUCUCUGCUGGGCUUAAAGGUGUACCUGGUUACACCCAGGUCCUUGUGCAUGUUAGACUACCCAACUGUAUCGUGAAGCCACUUCCCGGGAUGGUUUUGGAGAAACUAAGUGCCUUCCUGGGAAUUUGAUUCUUAGAAUAGGAUGCAAGCAGAGCCAGGAGUCAGGCACCAAGACCUUGAGACUCUCACAUUCCUGCCACAACAGUUUCUCAGUCAUUCUAAACUCAACCAGCAGGGGGCGCCAGCGCACCAUGUUCCUCUGAGUGUCGGGUACCUAAGAAGCUGCCCGUGCUGCUUCCUGCCAGGAGAUGACCUCUAUGUGUCUUUUCUGCCUGUUCCUUUCAGCAGAGGAAAGUAAGGGGAUGCUCUGCUUGGAGCUACCUGGCAACCAGCAACUGAGUAGUGUGAUCCUGCCUCCGCAGAUGGAAGAAAAUGAAAGUGCAGAUCGUGCUGUGGGAAGCUGUUACCCUUGGCCUCAGCGUGUUCUAUGCAAUACCCCGUUUGCACUGCAUGUGUGUGUCCACAGAAGGAUUAGCCAGAGGGAAAAAAGAACAGUGUUUUUUUCCUAUAGAAAGGCAAGAGAGAAGACGACACGAUUCACUGGGUGUUUUGCAUGCACAUAUGCCUGUGCACCACAUGAGAAUCUGUCUGCAAAACAACUACAGGGUCAACAACCUACAUAAAGAUGAGAAGUGCGACUGCCUCCUCUGAUUGCAACACAUGUACCAUUGUCUUAAGGGUCACUGUUCUGUUGCUUCGAGGAUGCAUCGAGACCAAGGAAACUUUUAAAAGGAAGCAUGUGAUCGGGAGCUUGCUUACAGUUUCAGAAGGAGAAGGUAAAGCAAAGACCUGGACCACAGAGGCGAGUGCACAGGUGGAGGAGGCAGGGACAUCAAACAGGACAAGAGCCACAUAGAUGGCACAUGGGGAUGGGCAGCUAAGUGGGAAGUGGAUGCAGCUCACAAGUGCUCCAUCUGGUACCUGCCUGUAUGACUGCCACCUUCCUCAGUGACCCUUCCACACCACGUGCCACCUCACCUCUUAGUCUUCCCAUGUUGUCUUUCUUCACCUACGUAACUCUUCCUCAGGCCAGAGCUUUCCUGCGGUAGGGAUCAGACUUUUCAUGUGCAUAUGAAGCAGUUAAGUGAAUCAUGUGAUAGUUGCAUACUCUGUAGAUCCCCAGUGGGUGUGAAGUCUACAGAUGUCACUUGGAUUAGCAAGAUGCCCACGAAACUUCUCCCAAGCCCAGACCUUGGAGUCACACGAGCUUGCAGUGGUUUGGAUUUUCUUCUAUCAAGGAUCUGCAUCCCUCUCCCUCAGCUGUGCAGAGGACAUUUGCCUGAUUGGUUAUUGGUGGAGACUGGCGUUGAUCAAUGGGAAGCUCACAGAUGUGAUUGGAGCAAAGGCCUCACAUGGCAUUGCUGUCUUGUAGCUGCUGGUCCUCAAGAGUGAAAGUUUCAUGGAGCAGAGCCACACCAGCUUCUGUAGGUUGUAUAGUCCAGGAGCCUGAAGCCUGAAGCUGCCUCAGUGGGUGUGAUAACUCCAUGCCCUUUACCUCCAAGUGUGAGGGUGUUUUGUUACUGACUGAUACACUGAUUUUUUUCCUCCUGGGUUUUCAUUAAUCAUCUGCAUGUAUCUGUUAUCACUCAUAUGAGGAAAGAUUAAAUGGUCUGUUUACUUCUCUAACAGUUUUACUAGGUUUUAUGUUCAAACUGGGCAAAAACCACAGGCAUUUGUCACAUGACAACAAGGAGGCUUUCUGAGAAGUGUACUUCAGGGUGAUUUGUCAUUGUGCAAGCAUCAUGGUGCUCACACAGAUGUAGAUGGAUCUAAGCCAACCAUUGGGUGUGGCUUCAUCUCUUUAUUUAUUUUGAUUUUUGGAAUAGUGGUCCUCUGUGUAGCGUUGCUGUCCUCAAACUCACUCUGUAGACUAGGCUGGCCUCAAACUCCCAGAGCUCUGCCUGCCUCUGCCUCCUAAGUGCUGCGAUCAAAGGCGUGCACCACCACUGCCCGGCACUCACUCACUCAUUUUUGACACGUGACUUUGAGUUCACUAUGCAGCAGAAGACCACCUUGAACUUCUGACCAUCCUACCUCCAGAUCCUGAGCGUUGGCAUUUGGUUUAUGUGCGGCUGGGGAUGGGAUCCAUAGCCCCUGGCAUGCUAGAGAAACAUUUAACCAACUGAGCCACAAGACCAGCCUCUUGCUGUGGCUUCUUGUUGUCUUUAGGAGACAUGGUAAGCAUGAGACAUGAGAGCCUGUGGUCAGCAGGGCACAGUUUUAGAGCAAAUUAUGACAAAAAAUUAAAAUUGUAGCAUGGUGAAUAUAUAAAUAAAACCAUAACCAUUCUUUAUCACUACCAUUA